rnacentral:lncRNA from 1 species
GUAAUUCUAGAAAUGUUUUUAAGUAUAAUUUAAAACAUUCUUCAUUUCUUUACUUCAAACUUGUGCCGUAUUACUGAUGUCAUUGACAGAAUCCGAGAUAUUGAUCGGCUGAAAAUUUUCAAACGAUGGGUGUGCAUAAGAACUAUAGUAACAGCCAAAUUUUAGCCAUUGACAGGUUGUACGUGACGUUAAUGUGUUGUGUGUUUUGCUAAUUUAUUUAUGUCAAAUAUUUUGCCCUUAUAAAUUGAUAAACAUGAGCAAUAAAUGGAAAAACAACAGUGUUGAUGCAAACAAAAAGAGAUUAAGGACUCAUAAACUUCAUAUGAUCGAGACAAAGAUGGAAAUAAAUAAAUACUUUAAAACACAGUUUUUGGUGCACAAUUAUUUUGCAUCCCUCAGCUUUCGAACAUUCGACAUUCACACAUACUUUCGGGAACCAAUUAUGUGCGAAAGUCAAGGGCAACCUGUAUUUUA